ACGGCCCACCAAGGCGACGAUCGGUAGCCGGCCUGAGAGGGUGAUCGGCCACAUUGGGACUGAGAUACGGCCCAGACUCCUACGGGAGGCAGCAGUAGGGAAUAUUGCACAAUGGGGGAAACCCUGAUGCAGCAACGCCACGUGUGGGAAGAAGCAUUUCGGUGUGUAAACCACUGUCAUGAGGGAAUAAGGCCCGUUUUCGGACGGGAUUGAAUGUACCUUGAAAGGAAGCACCGGCAAACUUCGUGCCAGCAGCCGCGGUAAUACGAGGGGUGCAAGCGUUGUUCGGAAUUACUGGGCGUAAAGGGAGCGUAGGCGGAGAUUCAAGCGGAUUGUACAAUCCCGGGGCCCAACCCCGGCUCUGCAGUCCGAACUGGAUCUCU
rnacentral:rRNA from 1 species